AUGGCUGUCGUCAGCUCGUGUCGUGAGAUGUUGGGUUAAGUCCCGCAACGAGCGCAACCCUUACUUUUAGUUGCCAUCAUUUAGUUGGGAACUCUAAAAGAACUGCCAGUGAUAAGCUGGAGGAAGGUGGGGAUGACGUCAAGUCCUCAUGGCCCUUACGUGUUGGGCUACACACGUGCUACAAUGGUACUUACAAUGAGAAGCAAAGAUGCGAGUCUAAGCCAAUCUUAAAAAAGUAUCUCAGUUCGGAUUGCACUCUGCAACUCGAGUGCAUGAAGCUGGAAUUACUAGUAAUCGUGGAUCAGCGCGCCACGGUGAAUACGUUCCCGGGUCUUGUACACACCGCCCGUCACACCAUGGAAGUUGGUUACACCUUAAGGCAAAUUGUUAACCCUCGGGAAACAUUUGACUACGGUACGAUCAGCGACUGGGGUGAAGUCGUAACAAGGUAGCCGUAGGGGAACCUGCGGCUGGAUCACCUCCUUUCUAAGGAAAUCGAAAAUAUCAAAACAAUUAUUUUCGAUUUAAAAAAAACCGGUAAUGUGACCGUCCUCAUUUCUCUUCUUUUAAUGUCUCUAAGGUAAAUCAAGGGGCCGGUAGCUCAGUUGGUUAGAGCGCACCCCUGAUAAGGGUGAGGUCGGAAGUUCGAAUCUUCCUCGGCCCACCAAUAUUAUGGGGGAUUAGCUCAGCUGGGAGAGCGCCUGAUUUGCAUUCAGGAGGCCAGCGGUUCGAUCCCGCUAUCCUCCACCAAAAUUUGAGACAUUUAGCUUUUUUAAAUUGUGAAUAUUAUUAAUAUUAUCAAUAUCUAUAUCCGAUUGUUUUCAGAUAUUUUUUUGAAAACAAUCAAAACAAAAAUUUGAAUUUUACACAGAAAGUUUUUUUCUGUGCAUAAAUCAAGCGUUUAAGGGCGAUUGGCGGAUGCCUUGGCACUGUAAGACGAUGAAGGACGUGGUAUACUGCGAUAAGUUUCGGGGAGUUGUAUGCAAGCUUUGAUCCGAAAAUUUCCGAAUGGGGAAACCCGG
rnacentral:sRNA from 1 species